rnacentral:sRNA from 1 species
AGCAGUCGUACAUGUGUAACAGUAUGCCCUGCAUGCCAGAGGAGUGAAGGCUUCACAUCUACUACAUGUCUGCCAGGAUUGAAGACAGAUGCUACAGCUUAUCAAUUGAAAUAUUACUCUCAACAUCAGCAGACACAACCAAAGAAAGAAUUAAAAAGACAGUGGAUUCUUGGGCAGAUUUAGGAGCUAGUCUAUCACUACAAACAGUUUAUAGUACUUAGAGUACCAGUACAUGUGUACCGGUAUAUGAAAAAAAAUCGUAACACAAUCCUACAACAACUUUAGCCAUAAGAUACAAAAUGAUGUAAUUAAAAAAAAAUGAUAUAAUAAUGGUAAUUAUUAUUUAACAAAUAAUUUUCUAAGAUGACUACUGAGUAUAUAUGCAAAAUGCUACAUGUAGUUUCAAUACAGCCGUGCAUAUAAAAAACAAAUUUUAAAAGGAUGGUGAUAUUAUAUGUUCAGUUGGAUGUAAAUCACUUGGUUACAUGUAGGCAAAAAGAAUUCAUGUGGAAUGUUAUGACAAAACUUUUUUAUUUGGAUCUUUAAAAUUAUGAUUUUGUUGUUGAUAGAAAGAUAUAAUGCACAUGAGGUUCAAUAUUGCUGUAAAUGAAUAAAUGUGCAAUGAAAAAAAAA